GGAGAGUUGGCUGAGCGGUCAAAAGCAGCAGACUGUAAAUCUGCCGGGUUCGCCCUACGGAGGUUCAAAUCCUCCACUCUCCACCA
rnacentral:tRNA from 1 species